ACAGAGAGAGAGAGAGAGAGAGAGAGAGAGAGAGAGAGAGAGAGAGAGCCCAGAAACUGGCUAUAAAAAGUUACUUAAAAUGACAACUACAGUUAGAAAUAGUUGUGAUAAAUUCCAGAGGACAGUGGAAAAGUAUCUUCAAGGAUCUAAGGCAAUCUUAAAUCCGCUAAAUCUGCUAAACUAGUGUCUUAUACCCAGCUAAACUAGCAUUUUAAAAAGCAGGUUAAAAACAGAAGCAAUUUUAGAAAUUUUUUUUUAAAAGUUUUUUUAAAAAACCAGUCUUGAAUAUUCACAAAACAGAUCACUAGAAUCUGGGUAAUAAGAAGAAAAACAAGUCUCAAGGCAAGGUACAGAAAAUAAGAAAUUAUUGUAGGUUCCAAAAUCUAUUACAAGCACUUCUGACUACAAACACAAAGCUGAAGUUUAAAAUGAAGAUUGGGAAAAUCUGAAAGGAGAGAUAAUGCUCAUUGGGUGGUGUAGAUGCCCACCAUGCCUCCCACCUGUCCCUGACUGGUCUAGGUAUUCUCAGUCAUAGGGAUUUUAACAGACUGGCCAGGAACUCUCAUAAGAAACCAGAUGAUUCUAUAAGCUUGUGCUCUUUGACUCGAGUCGUUUUUACGGUAAAACCAGCCAGCCACUGCCCAUAGAUGGCUCCGUGAGGUAACUGCCUAGCUUCAUAAAAAGUCUGUGUCUUUUCCAACAGGCGAAAGGAGGCCUUCCCUGGGUGCAGAGUUAUGUAAUUUGUCUAAAUCACACAGCACUAAAGGAAGAGCAAACCCACAAAUUUGGGUGUGUCUGUGGAGCACAUUCACUUCAGCAGAUGUUCAGUUGCUCAGAGACACAGACAGCUCCCUCCUGCCGCCUGUGACCCCUGGGAACAGGAGUGUCCGAUGGUGGCUGAGCCUGGCCACGGGCCCCAGCCAACCAGUACAGAGAAGGAAGGAGCUCACUAUGCCCCGGCUCUUCUCUCCUUCCGCCCUUCUCCACAUGCAAGAGGCCAAGAAACUAAACUGCCUAGACUGCAGGUUAGCUUGUAGAUACCAGUGGGUUUUUUGAGUUGAUGAAAUAAUUUAAUCCAAACCUUCCUUUUCCAUGGGGAUCAAAUUACGAGAAGGUCACAAAACCCGGUUCUGUUGUUCUCAGUCCCGACAGUGCCAGAGAGGGUGUCAAAUUUUGUUGUUGUUGCUCAUACUGUGGUUUAUAGUUGGAACUGUGUGCAGUCACGGCUUUCUUCUCUCCUGGGCACUCUGAUUCGUACUGAAACAUCUCUCGUGUACAAGUCAUGACUGGAGUAUCCUGAGCAGCUCUCAGAAGAGCCACUUCCUUGGGCAGAUCCAGGCCACAAAGUUGCUGGGGAACAUUGGUUGCCACCCUCUAAACGGACAAGCCUUUUGUGAACAGUCCAAAACCAGCAAAUGACCCAGGAGUUAGGGCCACCCUGGGAUGAAAGUAGGAGGGUCUUUUUCCCCUGUCCUUUAUUCCCUUGGGGGACCCUAUGAGCUAAGCCGCAGGAGUCCAAUAGUCUUAGUGCCACGGACUCUUGGUUGGCCCCGCAGAGAUUGAUCCAAGAUGAAAGUUUGCCGAGCGAGCCAGGCACUCUGCCGCAGUUGGGGUAAGUCAAGCUGGUGUGCCAGUGGGUGAGUCAGCGACCGAAAUGCCCUCUCUUCAUUGCAUAACUCUAAACACAGGCUUUGCCUUCCCGAUAAUCACUCUCCUGGCGGUGGCACAGCAGGGCUUAUUUCCUGAAGACAUGCGUGGGAAAAAAAAGUUUUCCAGGCAGACUUAGACACUCAGGCUUCCAUGCUGUAAGGAACAGUACUUCCUUCCUCUCCAGCGCUGGUGAUAUGACUCACAGCAAAACGUGAAGAUGACUUUCCUGAUGCACCAAAUGGCAGCUGGCUGUAGCGACUCAGGCUUGUGGUCCCCAGCACUCCGGAGGAUGAGGCGGGAGACCCAUGACAUUGAGUCUAGGGCUACAUAUCUGGACCCUGUCUCAAAACAAACUGAUAAACCAGCAGACAAAUAUCAAGAAUGAAGAACUUGAGCAAUAAGAGGAAACGCAUCAAGUGCUAGACACGUGGUACAUCCUUCUCUCUACCUAGCUAUAAUGACCCUCAUAUUCUGCCCGUUAUACAGGAAUAGAAUUCCUUCAAGGACCAUUUCUUACAGGAGAGGGAAGACAUGGAGGCACAGUAAAUGGGUAGGUGACAGGCAAAUGGAGAGCCUGGCACUCAUGUCAAGGACAAGAUAAAGCCUGUCUGCACGGGCUGAAGUAGGGACAUUCAGCAAAGUGGUUUUUCUCUGGGCUGUUUGGUGCUUACAGUUUGCCCAGAUCCUAACCCAAACUCAAACUGGAACUUCCUGGAUGGCGCCACCUUGCCUUGGCAAUCCUUAAUUUAUUAACUCAAAAUGCUUCCCAGAUCCUGCCCAAGACCUCUCUAACCUGGCUCCCAACUCUCUGUGCUCAGACUCACUGGCCUGCACUGUCACAGCUUUGAAUGGGACUGUCCUUGAGAUCCAUAAAGAAGUACUUCCCCCGGAUCCCUCACCAGCCCAAGGCCACUUGCAACCUUCAUGGGGGUGUGGGGGGGGGGGGGAGAAACACGACACUGUCCUGGUUUCCACUGGCAGCAACGGUUACUCAGGCUGCCUCCAAACAGCCAGAAGAGUUCCAGAGUCCACAGAUCUUGCUUCUCAGUGGCACACACAUUCAUAGACUUCUCUAAGGUGCUUCCCUGCAGGAGAGCUCUCUGUGAGCUAGGUCCUUACACAGGAGUCUCUGCUGAGGAAAAGCCUUGGACGUGGGGUUAGGAAAGCUGUCAGAGGCUGUUUUGCACAACAUCAAACACAUUCCAGGCCUUAUCUAAUCAGGGAGCCUUCUUCAACAGCCAUGCAGAGGCUGUUCCUGCAAAGCAUUCCCCAGGCAGGGCGAGGGCCUUGAUUCUAGAGGCAGAGUAAUGGCUCUUUUGGCACAGGCAAAGCUGCCUGGCAGCUGGAGCUUUGAGGUAACCUCUGACCCUCUCCCACAGUUCCUCCCAAGUCCCGCCGCACCACUCUAAGCCACCCUCAAAUCCCAGGCUCUAAUUGGCUCUGGUUUGUUUUGCCUUUCUCUUCUGUCCAGUGCUUCAAAAGGCACUUCAAUAAUUGUUUGAGGCACGAAAAAGGCAGGGUUCAGCUUUCCUAACUGGAAUUGGAGGUAAUUACUGUCUUCCAUAUUCGAGCCGGUACAUGCUGCAAAUCACAUGGCUCUGGGUUGCUUUCCAGCGGGGUGGCCAGGUCUCAGAGCUACAAGGAGGAUUAUAGAACUUCACAAAGGCUCUGCUUCAGAGAGAGAAGAAUCGACAGGUCUCAGAAGUGCUAGAGGAGUUGUUUAUACUCUUCUGCUGUCCGCUCGAGACUGUCCUGAGAGGUUUGGUCUGAAGAGACUUCAACUCUACCCUGGAAGUUUGGGAUUUGCUUUUUUAUUUUGUUUGCUCUCAAUGGGCAGGAACUGACCCCUCCACACACACACACACACACACACACACACACACACACACACACACACACACACACACAUAAGCCCCUUCUUGUUUGAAAUUAAUAACCACAUGCUCGACCUAGGCUGCCCAACUUCAGAACAGAACUUCAAUGAGUGAGGCUAAGACCCACCUCCAAGAACCAGAAUAAGGAUUCCAUUUUGUGCAUUCAAAACAGCAAACCCAAAUGUGGAGAGUCUCUGGAUCAUCCCCCUUCUGCUCCUUGUGGACCCGGAGGGCCUUGUUUAAUCGAUCAGCUGAUUCACAGGACGUCACUCACAGUGAGAGCGGUUGCUGACCCAACCUCAGAGGGUGUGUGAGGUCCACAUGAGGUUAGCCCAUGUGAAGUGCCUGUCUGGGAUCUGUGUAUACCAAAUGUUCAAUAAAUAUCAGCUAACAGUCACUGUCAA